rnacentral:rRNA from 1 species
ACGGCAGCACGGAGCUUGCUCUGGUGGCGAGUGGCGAACGGGUGAGUAAUAUAUCGGAACGUACCCUGGAGUGGGGGAUAACGUAGCGAAAGUUACGCUAAUACCGCAUACGAUCUACGGAUGAAAGUGGGGGAUCGCAAGACCUCAUGCUCGUGGAGCGGCCGAUAUCUGAUUAGCUAGUUGGUAGGGUAAAAGCCUACCAAGGCAUCGAUCAGUAGCUGGUCUGAGAGGACGACCAGCCACACUGGAACUGAGACACGGUCCAGACUCCUACGGGAGGCAGCAGUGGGGAAUUUUGGACAAUGGGCGAAAGCCUGAUCCAGCAAUGCCGCGUGAGUGAAGAAGGCCUUCGGGUUGUAAAGCUCUUUUGUCAGGGAAGAAACGGUGAGGGCUAAUAUCCCUUGCUAAUGACGGUACCUGAAGAAUAAGCACCGGCUAACUACGUGCCAGCAGCCGCGGUAAUACGUAGGGUGCAAGCGUUAAUCGGAAUUACUGGGCGUAAAGCGUGCGCAGGCGGUUUU